UGGGGAAUUUUGGACAAUGGGCGCAAGCCUGAUCCAGCCAUGCCGCGUGCGGGAAGAAGGCCUUCGGGUUGUAAACCGCUUUUGUCAGGGAAGAAAUCUUCUGAGUUAAUACCUCGGGAGGAUGACGGUACCUGAAGAAUAAGCACCGGCUAACUACGUGCCAGCAGCCGCGGUAAUACGUAGGGUGCAAGCGUUAAUCGGAAUUACUGGGCGUAAAGCGUGCGCAGGCGGUUUUGUAAGACAGAGGUGAAAUCCCCGGGCUCAACCUGGGAACUGCCUUUGUGACUGCAAGGCUUGAGUGCGGCAGAGGGGGAUGGAAUUCCGCGUGUAGCAGUGAAAUGCGUAGAUAUGCGGAGGAACACCGAUGGCGAAGGCAAUCCCCUGGGCCUGCACUGACGCUCAUGCACGAAAGCGUGGGGAGCAAGCAGGAUUAGAUAGCCCUGGUAGUCCACGCCCUAAACGAUGUCAACUGGUUGUUGGGAAGGUUCCUUCUCAGUAACGUAGCUAACGCGUGAAGUUGACCGCCUGGGGAGUACGGCCGCAAGGUUGAAAC
rnacentral:rRNA from 1 species